UACAUGUGGGGCAAGCAUUGCUCGGAAUCACUGGGCGUAAAGGGUGCGUAGGCGGGUCUUUAAGUCAGGGGUGAAAUCCUGGAGCUCAACUCCAGAACUGCCUUUGAUACUGAAGAUCUUGAGUCCGGGAGAGGUGAGUGGAACUGCGAGUGUAGAGGUGAAAUUCGUAGAUAUUCGCAAGAACACCAGUGGCGAAGGCGGCUCACUGGCCCGGUACUGACGCUGAGGCACGAAAGCGUGGGGAGCAAACAGG
rnacentral:rRNA from 1 species